GAUCAACAUUAGCAUCAUUAUGAUCUUGGACAUCCCUCAGCCUCCCUGAGUCUUGGUUCCCUUAUUUUAAGUGGUCACAGGGAUGCUGCUGCUGUCCAGGAUCUGGCAUCCAGGACCCAGGAAUGGGGUAUCUUUCCUGAAAUGAUCCUGUUCUUCAGCCCCUGCAGGAAGUGAAACUUUUGCAGAGAAAUUCUUAAGGAAUGUUGUGGGUCCCAGCUGUUGCAGUUUUACCUCUUUUCCUGGUCUUUAAGUCAGUCUCUGAGCACCGUCUUUCUGCUGUUGACCAUGUUGUGCCAUGGGCCAUCAUGGAGGUGCUCUGGGAGAAGGAGAACCUCGCUGGCUCCACCUGGAUGCCCCUUUCCAGUGGCCGGAAUCCCACCUCUCAAGACAGCAUGUUAAUCUCCUCCACAGAAAGGGUGUCAUCUGUUGCUAUUAUAUCAGGUGUUCUGGUUAUCACAAGUCUCUGGGGGAGGCCUGAGAGCACAAUUUCAUCCUUAAAG